rnacentral:tRNA from 1 species
GGGUGCGGCGCGCCAGUGGCGCGCGUUUCGCACGGACCGGAGCGAAGCGGAGACCGCAGGUUCAAAUCCUGUCGCAUCGA